UACGUAGGGUGCGAGCGUUGUCCGGAAUUAUUGGGCGUAAAGGGCUCGUAGGCGGUUUGUCGCGUCGGGAGUGAAAUCCACUGGCUUAACUGGUGGCUUGCUUUCGAUACGGGCAGACUGGAGGUAUGCAGGGGAGAACGGAAUUCCUGGUGUAGCGGUGAAAUGCGCAGGAUAUCAGGAGGAACACCGGUGGCGAAGGCGGUUCUCUGGGCAUGUCCUGACGCUGAGGAGCGAAAGUGUGGGGGAGCGAACAGG
rnacentral:rRNA from 1 species